rnacentral:rRNA from 1 species
GACGAACGCUGGCGGCGUGCUUAAUACAUGCCAGUCGAACGAACAGGCCCUGCUUUUGCUCCUUGCACGUGUGCCGCACGCGUGUGUAACACGCGUGUAACCUGCCCUUGUCUUUCGGAUAACUUCACGGAACUGCGGAGCUUAUCCGAUAGGAGCUCUUGCUCAGUGGUGGGGGUUGGUAAGUUUCGGUCGUUGGGGAUGGACUCGCGGUUUACGAGCCUGUUUGUGGGGUAGUGGCGUACCAAGGCUUUGACUGGUAGCCGGCCUGAGCGGGUGAACAGGCACAUUGGGACUGAGAUACGGCCCAGACGCCUACGGGAGGCAGCAGUGGGGAAUAUUGCACAAUGGGCGGAAGCCUGAUGCAGCAACGCCGCGUGCGGGAUGACGUGCUUCGGGUUGUAAACCGCUUUCGCCGGUGACGAAGCGUGAGUGACGGUAAUGGGUAAAGAAGCACCGGCUAACUACGUG